rnacentral:rRNA from 1 species
GACGAACGCUGGCGGCGUGCUUAACACAUGCAAGUCGAACGGAGUGGCGAACGGGUGAGUAACACGUGGGUGAUCUGCCUUGCACUUCGGGAUAAGCUUGGGAAACUGGGUCUAAUACCGGAUAGUCCAAGAUGAGCUCUCGGCCUAUCAGCUUGUUGGUGGGGUAAUGGCCUACCACGGCGGCGACGGGUAGCCGGCCUGCGAGUGUGUACGGCCACAUGGGAACUGAGAUACGGACCAGACUCCUACGGGAGGCAGCAGUGGGUAAUAUUGCACAAUGGGCGGAAGUCUGAUGCGGCGACGCUGCGUUGGGGAUGAAGGCUUUCGGGUUGUAAACUACUUUCGACAGGGACGCGGUACCUGUAUAAGAAGCACCGGCUAACUACGUGCCAGCAGCCGCGGUAAUGC